UUUUCUGAUGGACUACAAUGUGGAAGUGUGAGCUGAAUAAACCCUUUCCUCGCCCAACUUGCUUUUGAUCAUGGCAUUUUGCUGCAGCAAUAGAAACUCUAAGAAACCUAUGGAGGGUUUGAACCUUGUGACAUUCCUGUCUCAGCUUCCUGAGUUGUUGGGGUUCCAGAGGGAGCGAUCAGGCAAGGAGGAAAGUCUUUGCUUUCCAUAGCCUUCUGAGCACCCAGUUAAGAUCACCAACAGCAUGUACAUUUUAAGAUGUAGCUCGGUUGGUGGAGUACUUGUCUAGUAUGUGCAUAGUCCUGGCUGCUGUUCUCAGUACUGCACAAGUCUGGUGUGCUCAUGCACACCUGUCUGCAGUCUCAGCCUUGGAAGUGGGGAGGGGGAGGAUCAGAAGACCACGGUCAUCCUGGGCAUCCAUCAGCACAUCACAUAGUAAGUUCGAGGACUACGUGCGGCACUGUGCUCUACAUCCUGUCCGUUGCUAUGGUAAAACACUGACUAAAACAUCAACUUAGGCAAGGAGAGGGUUUCUUUGGCUUAUCAAUCCAGGCCACAAUUCAUCAUUGAGGGAAACCAGGGCAGGAGUGCAGAGGCUGAAACUAUUUAGGGCCCCUACUCACUCAUUCUCACUACUCACCCACUUACGCUUAGCAAACUUUCUCACCUG
rnacentral:lncRNA from 1 species